UACGAAGGGGGCUAGCGUUGCUCGGAAUCACUGGGCGUAAAGCGCACGUAGGCGGGUCGUUAAGUCAGGGGUGAAAUCCUGGAGCUCAACUCAGAACUGCCCUUGAUACUGGCGAUCUCGAAUUCGGGAGAGGUGAGUGGAACUGCGAGUGUAGAGGUGAAAUUCGUAGAUAUUCGCAAGAACACCAGUGGCGAAGGCGGCUCACUGGCCCGAUACUGACGCUGAGGUGCGAAAGCGUGGGGAGCAAACAGG
rnacentral:rRNA from 1 species